GACGAACCGUGCGAACGUUGUUCGGAAUCAUUGGGCUUAAAGGGCGCGUAGGCGGGUCGGCAAGUCAGGGGUGAAAUCCCACGGCUCAACCGUGGAAGUGCCUCUGAUACUGCCGGUCUCGAGGGGGGUAGGGGCGUGCGGAACUUCCGGUGGAGCGGUGAAAUGCGUAGAUAUCGGAAGGAACACCGGUGGCGAAAGCGGCGCGCUGGACCCCAUCUGACGCUGAGGCGCGAAAGCCAGGGGAGCAAACGGG
rnacentral:rRNA from 1 species